ACAGUUAUUUGAGUAAGAAUUCAAGAAAGCCAAUGGCAUUUGUGGUUAUAAUUGGAUUGCCCUAGUUCCUCUGCACUAAUCAAUGCCGUUGUGCUGGCAAGGUUGUGCUCUCAUGCUGGCACGGCUUCAUGGGCAACCGUGACAUUAUCCCGACUUGUGCAGUGCCAGUCAGCGAAGGGAGCCAACCGUGCAUACAAAUAACUUAAAGAGGGAUCAGCCACUCGAGGAAGAACGCAUUAAGGGUUGCGAGAUGCUCAACAAGGGUGCUGCAGCGAGGCUGGAGGUAGGGCUGCCAUAGUAAAGGAUUGCAAAAGAGGGAAAUUUACAGGAUUCUUUGAAGAGACACCCAUUGUGUUGGAGGUCUCACAGCGCUUCCUGUCUCCAACACACAGCUCAUCCAUCCCUUCAAAGCCCAACAUAUUUUUUCCCACGUAUGAAGUCACUCCAACACUUACAGCAUGAUAUCUGGACACCGGUCACACACGGUAUGUUUGCC